AACGAACGCUGGCGGCAGGCUUAACACAUGCAAGUCGAACGAUGUAGCAAUACAUGGUGGCGCACGGGUGAGUGACGCGUGGGAAUGUACCUUUUAGUGGGGGAUACCUCCGGGAAACUGGAGCUAGUACCGCAUACGCCCUUCGGGGGAAUGAUUUAUCGCUAAAAGAUCAGCCCGCGUGAGGUUAUGGUAGUUGGUGAGGUAAUGGCUCACCAAGGCGACGAUCUCUAGCUGGUCUGAGAGGACGACCAGCCACACUGGAACUGAGACACGGUCCAGACUCCUACGGGAGGCAGCGGUGGGGAAUAUUGGGCAAUGGAGGCAACUCUGACCCAGCCAUGCCGCGUGAGUGAUGAAGGCUCUAGGGUUGUAAAGCUCUUUCGCCGAUGAAGAUAAUGACGGUAGUCGGAGAAGAAGCCCCGGCUAACUUCGUGCCAGCAGCAGCCGCAG
rnacentral:rRNA from 1 species